rnacentral:rRNA from 1 species
CCUACGGGUGGCAGCAGUGAGGAAUAUUGGUCAAUGGGCGAGAGCCUGAACCAGCCAAGUCGCGUGAAGGACGAAGGACCUAUGGUUUGUAAACUUCUUUUAUAAGGGAAUAAAGAGAGGAACGUGUACCAUUUUGUAUGUACCAUAUGAAUAAGCAUCGGCUAACUCCGUGCCAGCAGCCGCGGUAAUACGGAGGAUGCGAGCGUUAUCCGGAUUUAUUGGGUUUAAAGGGUGCGUAGGCGGUUACUUAAGUCAGUGGUGAAAGUUUGUGGCUCAACCCUAGAAUUGCCGUUGAAACUGGUUGACUUGAGUAUAGUUGAGGUAGGCGGAAUGCGUUGUGUAGCGGUGAAAUGCAUAGAUAUCACGCAGAACUCCGAUUGCGAAGGCAGCUUACUAGACUGUAACUGACGCUGAAGCACGAAAGCGUGGGGAUCAAACAGGAUUAGAUACCCGAGUAGUC